rnacentral:tRNA from 1 species
GGGGACGAGGUCAUGGUGACCGGCCGGUCUCCAACACCGGCGCGGCCGAGGUUCGAUUCCUCGCGGCCCCG